rnacentral:rRNA from 1 species
GAUGAACGCUGGCGGCGUGCCUAAUACAUGCAAGUCGAGCGAACAGACGAGGAGCUUUCUCCUCUGACGUUAGCGGCUGACGGGUGAGUAACACGUGGAUAACCUACCUAUAAUACUGGGAUAACUUCGUGAAACCGGAUCUAAUACCGCAUAAUAUAUUGAACCGCAUGGUUCAAUAGUUAAAGACGGUUUUGCUGUCACUUAUAGAUGGAUCCGCGCCGCAUUAGCUAGUUGGUAAGGUAACGGCUUACCAAGGCAACGAUGCGUAGCCGACCUGAUAGAGGGAUCGGCCAAACUGGAACUGAGAAACGGUCCAGACUCCUAGGGGAGGAAGCAGGAGGAAAACUGCAGAAAUGGGGGAAAGCCUGACGGAGCAAAGCGGCGUGAGUGAUGAAGGUCUUCGGAUCGUAAAACUCUGUUAUGAGGAAAAAAAAAAGGUGUAAGUAACGAUGCACGUCUGAAGGGAACCAAAGAAGAAAGACACGGCAAACUACGU